rnacentral:rRNA from 1 species
AGAGUUUGAUCCUGGCUCAGGAUGAACGCUAGCGGCAGGCUUAACACAUGCAAGUCGAGGGGCAGCGGGGAGGAAGCUUGCUUUCUCCGCCGGCGACCGGCGCACGGGUGAGUAACACGUAUGCAACCUGCCCCUGUCAGGGGGACAACCCGCCGAAAGGCGGGCUAAACCCGCGUACAUGCCACCGGGGCAUCCCGGAGGCAGGAAAGGCUUCGGCCGGACAGGGAUGGGCAUGCGGCGCAUUAGGCAGUAGGCGGGGUAACGGCCCACCUAACCGACGAUGCGUAGGGGUUCUGAGAGGAAGGUCCCCCACACUGGUACUGAGACACGGACCAGACUCCUACGGGAGGCAGCAGUGAGGAAUAUUGGUCAAUGGUCGGGAGACUGAACCAGCCAAGCCGCGUGAGGGAGGAAGGUACAGAGUAUCGUAAACCUCUUUUGUCAGGGAACAAAGGCGGGGACGUGUCCCCGGAUGAGUGUACCUGAAGAAAAAGCAUCGGCUAACUCCGUGCCAGCAGCCGCGGUAAUACGGAGGAUGCGAGCGUUAUCCGGAUUUAUUGGGUUUAAAGGGUGCGCAGGCGGUCUGUUAAGUCAGCGGUCAAAGCCCGGGGCUCAACCCCGGCCCGCCGUUGAAACUGGCAGUCUCGAGUUGGAGAGAAGUAUGCGGAAUGCGCGGUGUAGCGGUGAAAUGCAUAGAUAUCGCGCAGAACUCCGAUUGCGAAGGCAGCAUGCCGGCUCCACACUGACGCUGAGGCACGAAAGCGUGGGUAUCGAACAGGAUUAGAUACCCUGGUAGUCCACGCAGUAAACGAUGAAUGCUGGGCUGUCCGGGGGGAUUGACCCCUGGGUGGCGAAGCGAAAGCGAUAAGGCAUUCCACCUGGGGAGUAUCGCCGGCAACGGGUGAAACUCAAAGGAAUUGACGGGGGCCCGCACAAGCGGAGGAACAUGUGGUUUAAUUCGAUGAUACGCGAGGAACCUUACCCGGGCUCAAACGGGGAGUGACUCAGGCAGAGACGCCUGUUUCCCACGGGACACUCCCCGAGGUGCUGCAUGGUUGUCGUCAGCUCGUGCCGUGAGGUGUCGGCUUAAGUGCCAUAACGAGCGCAACCCCCGCGUGCAGUUGCUAACAGAUAACGCUGAGGACUCUGCACGGACUGCCGGCGCAAGCCGCGAGGAAGGCGGGGAUGACGUCAAAUCAGCACGGCCCUUACGUCCGGGGCGACACACGUGUUACAAUGGGUGGUACAGCGGGAAGCCAGGCGGCGACUCCGAGCGGAACCCGCAAUCCACUCUCAGUUCGGAUCGGAGUCUGCAACCCGACUCCGUGAAGCUGGAUUCGCUAGUAAUCGUGCAUCAGCCAUGGCGCGGUGAAUACGUUCCCGGGCCUUGCACACACCGCCCGUCA